UACGUAGGUGACAAGCGUUGUCCGGAUUUACUGGGCGUAAAGAGCGCGCAGGCGGUCGAUCAAGUCGAGUGUGAAAGCCCCCGGCUCAACUGGGGAGGGUCAUUCGAUACUGAUCGACUCGAAGGCAGGAGAGGGUAGUGGAAUUCCCGGUGUAGUGGUGAAAUGCGUAGAUAUCGGGAGGAACACCAGUGGCGAAGGCGGUUAGCUGGCCUGUAACUGACACUGAGGCGCGAAGGCUAGGGGGAGCGAACAGG
rnacentral:rRNA from 1 species